rnacentral:ncRNA from 2 species
AAAUGAGAUUCGGGGUGCCACUGGCUGAGAUUAUACCCGUUGAACCUGAACAACAGAAGUUGCGUAGGAAAAUCUAAUUAAAGAACU